rnacentral:rRNA from 1 species
ACGAACGCUGGCGGCGUGCUUAACACCUGCAAGUCGAACGGAAAGGCCCUGCUUGCAGGGUGCUCGAGUGGCGAACGGGUGAGUAACACGUGGGUGAUCUGCCCCUUACUUUGGGGUAAGCCUGGGAAACUGGGUCUAAUACUGGAUAGGACCAUGCUGUAGGUGGUGUGGUGGAAAGAUUAGUUUCGGUAAGGGAUGAGCUCGCGGCCUAUCAGCUUGUUGGUGGGGUAAUGGCCUACCAAGGCGUCGACGGGUAGCCGGCCUGAGAGGGUGGACGGCCACAUUGGGACUGAGAUACGGCCCAGACUCCUACGGGAGGCAGCAGUGGGGAAUAUUGCACAAUGGGCGCAAGCCGGAUGCAGCGACGCCGCGUGGGGGAUGACGGCCUUCGGGUUGUAAACUCCUUUCAGCCAUGACGAAGCCCUUGUGGUGACGGUAGUGGUAGAAGAAGCACCGGCUAACUACGUG